GCACUUUGGGAUAAGCCUGGGAAACUGGGUCUAAUACCGGAUAGGACCACGGUCUGCAUGGAUUGUGGUGGAAAGCUUUUGCGGUGUGGGAUGGGCCCGCGGCCUAUCAGCUUGUUGGUGGGGUGAUGGCCUACCAAGGCGACGACGGGUAGCCAGCCUGAGAGGGUGUCCGGCCACACUGGGACUGAGAUACGGCCCAGACUCCUACGGGAGGCAGCAGUGGGGAAUAUUGCACAAUGGGCGCAAGCCUGAUGCAGCGACGCCGCGUGAGGGAUGACGGCCUUCGGGUUGUAAACCUCUUUCAGUGCCGACGAAGCGUAAGUGACGGUAGGCAUAGAAGAAGCACCGGCCAACUACGUGCCAGCAGCGGCGGUAAUACGUAGGGUGCGAGCGUUGUCCGGAAUUACUGGGCGUAAAGAGCUCGUAGGUGGUUUGUCGCGUUGUUCGUGAAAACUCACAGCUCAACUGUGGGCGUGCGGGCGAUACGGGCAGACUGGAGUACUGCAGGGGAGACUGGAAUUCCUGGUGUAGCGGUGGAAUGCGCAGAUAUCAGGAGGAACACCGGUGGCGAAGGCGGGUCUCUGGGCAGUAACUGACGCUGAGGAGCGAAAGCGUGGGGAGCGAACAGGAUUAGAUACCCUGGUAGUCCACGCCGUAAACGGUGGGUACUAGGUGUGGGUUUCCUU
rnacentral:rRNA from 1 species